CGGGGCGAACCGAUCCUCUCCUAAGAGAGCCUGCAGGGGCUUGGCGAGAUCCCUGCGAGCGCCUGGUACAACAAAACCCAGUAGAUGAACUUAUAAUAAUUGAUGAAGUCGGUUAAAAAAUACAACUGGCAAGUGUUUAAUACCUUUGCAUUGGGAGCUUCUCUAUUUAUGAAGCUCCCAAGAACAUUAACUGAAAUUUCAUUAUAGUCAGUCAGUGGUAAUGUAUCCGGAGUAAAGAUAAGAGAUGCAUAUCAGCCCUCAGUGAAACAUACUGAAAAACUGGAACAUACCAACUUGCAGUGCACUUGCUCAAUGGAGUAUGACUAUGUCCAAUGUGUAAAAUCAGUGUCCAUGAUCAUAUUUGCAGUUGGAUAGUAGGGACGUAAAGAGUUCAGGCUUGUCUUCUUGAAAAGUUAAAAAAAAAGUGGUAUAAAUAUAUUUCAUCAUCUAACUUCAAAAUGGUGUUUAAAUUUCUGUUCUGAAAAAGCAACACUUUGGUUUACCGACUGGUGUGUCUCCAAGACUGGUCUGAUUUCAGUGUCUGAAAACAAUUAAGAAGCUGAAUGGCUUUUUAUCCUCUUCUGCUGCAUUCCAGCAUGAGUAAUAUCAAAUCAAAAAGAAGGUACUUAAGUUCUUAUGUAGCUGAUGAUCCAAGGAGGAAGAUAACAAAUGUCUCCUAGUCUUUCCUGAAGCUGUGUUGCAGAACAGAGGAACAGCACUGCAAUGGUAAAAUACAGCCUCAAAGAACUUUGAACACAAAGACCUCAAAAUAGCCAUUGUGCAGCAUGUGUAAAUUUUCCUUAUUUUAGAGAAUUGAAACAUAAAAAUUACUGAAUCUAUCUCGGGUUGAGAAAUUCAAGAGGUGAGAGGAAUCUGUGUGUCCACAGCAUCUGAUCUACUUUUUUAGCAAGGAACCCCAAAACAUCAGUUUUCCUACUGAUGCAUUUUCUCACCUAUCUGCAGCAACUUGGAACUGCACAUCAGAGUGCACUCUGAGUUCACAGACAGACUGCCUGAAAAUGGCUUCCAUCAAGAGAAAACUGCAGUUGUGUAGUAAACAAAUGGAUUUUAAAGAUCUAAUGUGGUUUUCAUUACGAGAGGCCCAUGUUCAUAGUUCAUCAGCUCAAACUGCAGCCCAUUUUAUGUUUCUGACUGACUUCAGAAGACUGAAGUUUCUAUGUGGCAGAAUCAAGUGGUAGUUUUCUAAC